UCAUUCGUUCGUUGGCCGGCUGCGGCGGGUCAGUCGUUCACAUUCAUCGCUCCCGUUCGCAAGUGUUUUGUCGUGGCGUUGUCUCGCGUGAGUUUUGCAAUCGUGGUGCCGUUUGAGGGAAUUUGAUUUUUUUCCUCUUUAUUUUUCGGCCAAGAUCGCGCGUCUAAGAUUAACCCGGCCGACGACGAAGGUGGUCCUGAACUUUGGGCCGCUUUUCGCUGCAAGUUGAGGCAUACUUUGAUCCGAGUAGGGGUUUGACCUAGUGCGAUCGGAGCGGGACAAAGGUGCCGCGUACGAGGGAAUCUAGUUCCAAGUAGGCUCAGAUGAGUUUGGUGAAAGAGUUAAGAGUGGAAAUUCGGUUACAGGAAUCAUAUUGUGGUUUCCGUUGAAUUUGUUGUCUGCCAAAAAUAAGUGGCCAUAGCUUGGGGUUGUUGAAAACACACUCGAAGUGGUAAAGCAAGUGAGUACGCGAAUGCGAGUCAAUUUUGCUGAGCGACGAGGGGCGCGUUAGACCUACAAAUAUUGCGCUCACCGUGUGUUUGGGUGGUAUUUUUAACAAGCCUCGCGCGCAAGGCAUCGAUCCCCCUCAGCGGAAACGCAAGGGGAAGCAAGGGCGGACGAGGCGAACAUCUCGCUACCGCCGACGUCGUCCAUCCAAGUAGUCGUCGUCGUCGUCGUAGCAACCCGCAUGCAAAGUGACAAGUGAACGCGAAAUAUUAAGCAAAGAGAAGAUCAGCCGCCGUUCUUCUCGCAGCGCGGCGGAAGAGUGUACAAAACGGAGAAAGAAAUCAGUGCAAGAAGCGGCGCGGCAGGAGAAAAGAUCCGUCCGGCGAUCGAGUUGGUGUUGUUGUGCUCGUGCUGAUAUUGCCGAUGCCAAGCAGUGUGUGUGAGUAAACGAUCAAGAGUGAGCUUUUCUGUUGUUUUUGGGAAGUGUGUGGGACGGCCAAAAGCCGAAGGAAGAAAAGUGCUGUUUCAGUGAUUUCCGUAGGAAUGUAUAUAUUUCUUCUGAAUCAAAUUUAAAUCACAUUGCCGUCAACUUCUGUCAGCGUUCAGUGGCAGCGAUUGUGGGUGAGAAGGCGAAACAGCUUCGCUGUCAAGUGACAAGUGAGUCAAUCGGUGUGAAUGACGAAUACUAGAUGCGAUUCAGGUGAUCGGAGAGUAAAUCAAUGCUGAUCGUUUUUGGCAAGGAGAUUGCAAUUGGAUGAAAGGCGCGCAUAAACACAGUAAAAACGUCAGACCCGAAAAAAAAAACCUGCCGAGUCAGCUGGACUCACGUACACAAAUGCGAGACAGGAGACUGCCAAGCAAAAAGUAAUGUAAUUCAGAGUUUAGAAAUUACCAACUAAUAACAACGCAACCAGAAGGAAAGAGCCAGAGACGAAGACAGAACGAGGAACUGACAAACUGCCGCCAAGGGCUACACACAACAACUCAACAUAUCAACUUGAAGCAACUUCGAUUCCAGAUGAAUUCUUAGUAAAUUCGCCAAGUUGUCCCGUUCCUUAUUGAUACAAAUCGAUGGAAAGCUCAACACUAGAUUAUAGGUAAUGUGAUCGAAAAUGUUCGGAACGAGUAUCGAAGAUCGUCUCAGUGAAACAAUGGCGACGCACAAGGCCGGUCGCGUAACCGAGGGUAGUGAGGGUUGUCAUGGUACCGCACCUCAUCGAAGGCACUACUUUCGACGAAGGCCUGCUGCGAUCUCGAUGGCCAGCCAUUGUUCCUUGCUGCUUGCAGCCCUAGUAGUGAUAAGUUGUCCGCUGCUGGCAGUGGUCAAGGCCAUGCCGCACUCUUCACAUCAUUCUUCGGUUUCCCUUCCCGGGGCCGAAAGCAGCAGCAGUAGUAGUAGUGGUAGCAGUAGCAGUAAUAGCGGUAGUACAAAGAGUUUAGGAGUUUAUAUGAUCCGAUCGCCGGAAUCGACGACGGCACCGGCCGGCGAUGAAGUGUUGUUCGAGUGCGAGCUGAACCUGAUCCCGGAACGACUGGAGUGGAGGUUUCGACCUCAGGACGCUGCUGGCAGCCGGGACGACUAUGUUUAUUUGAAUAGGAAUGGUCACAACGUCACAACCAUCGAAGGCAACUCCAAGCUGCACGUAUAUGUCAACUCGAAAACGAUCGGUGAGUAUCAGUGCGUGGCAUGGUUUGGGGCCUCGGUGAUUGCGUCGAUUCCCGCGAGGCUAACUCUGGCCUCGAUCAGCCUGGAAUCCAGUAUUAGCAGCAACUACGGAUCGCUGCGGAGCAGCAGUAGUCUGAGUGAUACGCCGCAUAACGCUAGAACCGAUCGAGUCCCUUCGGUUAUGCGACGGGUAAUGUCCCCGAUCCAGCAGCAGCAUCUCAAAAUUUCCCCAGGAAAUAGUAUUAUCAUCAAGUGCGGCGAGGUGGUGUCCAAUCCACCAGCUAUAUGGAGCUACUACAAAGACGAGAUGGCCAUCCCCACGAAUGUUCCGCAGCUCCCGACUGGAGGCUUGAUUCUCUCACAAAUCACCCCGCAAGAUUCCGGCACGUAUCGCUGCUCCGCCAUCAACUCCAUCACCGGAAACGAGCUCAAAAUGCCCCAGAAGACCACCAUCCUCGUCGAAUCCACACCUCGAUCGCCUCCAAAGGCAAUCUACAAACCGCAAAACGUCUCGGUAACUCCCGGGGCUACCGCCCUACUCGAAUGUCCUGGAGUUGCCCUUCCUAUCCCCAGGGCAUCCUGGUUCCGGCGAGACGGUCAAUCGCUCACCGAUCGGUCCCAAGUACUCCCUUACGGUCUCCAGAUCACCGAUGUCACCUCAGACGAUCAAGGCGAGUACGUUUGCCGGUUGGAGAACGGCAUUGAACCCUCCCUCAUCCACACCGUCAAGCUCACAGUCCUGGAAGCCCCGAAAAUCAUCGAACCGCCUCGAUCAACCCUAACCAAUGAGAGCGAAAGUCUCGAACUGGAAUGCAUCGCCAAGGGUUCCCCAACGCCGGACAUCUACUGGAUGAUCAAUGGCGACUACACCAAGUGGGAUCGGCUGAUCAAGUCCAACGGAUCGAAGCUGUUCAUCAAAGCAGUGGAGAAGAAACACGCCGGAAUCGUGCAGUGCUUUGCAAAGAACGAAGUCGGCGAAGUGAGCGAAAGCAACUUGCUGCAGGUCAAUCCGAAGCAGAUUCCCGGCGGAGUGGAAACGGCUCCCCUCGGAUCGGUACCAACCGGUCCCAAAGGGAACGAACACAACGGAAAGCGCCCCAAGGGAGGAAAGAAACACAAACAUCUAGUCAUGAUCCCGCCAUCCCGGCCGAACAUCACGCGGCUUUCGGACGAAUCGGUCAUGGUGCGCUGGUCGGUCCCAUCUUCGGACGGUCUCCCGAUCCGGUUCUUCAAGGUCCAAUACCGGAUGAUCGGCGAUCCGUCCCGGAACAUUGCCCGCACCCAGUGGAUGACGGAAAACGACGACAUCUCUCCCUUUACUCGAUCGUACGAGGUCAACGGGCUGAAGUCCGACCAUUUUUACCGCUUCCGGAUAGUGGCCGUGUAUUCCAACAACGACAACAAAGAGGGUGCCGCUUCUGGCAAGUUCCACUUGCAGCGAGGAUCCCAGCUAGGCCCCAAGAACCACCUGCUUGCUCCGACGCUGACCCGCACGGAGUCCGUUUCGCAGCACGCGAUCGUUCUUCACUGGCAGUUCCCGCAGCACUUGCCGCAACCCAUCGAUGGCUUCUACGUGUACUACCGACCGGCCACUACAGCCGGAGAAUACUCCAAGGCAACGGUGGAUACUCCAACGGCUCGACACUUCAAGAUCGACCACCUCGAACCGGGCACGUCCUACGAGUUCAAGCUGCAGUCUUUUACGGCCGCUGCAGCGUCCGAUUUCAGCUCCAUCUGGACCGGCAAAACCUUGAAACCGCCUACCGUCACUCCGGUGAAUCCCUCGGUCAACUCCGCUUCGGAGGUGAACGACGGCACCGGUGAAGUGCCCAACUACGUCUACAUGGGCGUAGGAGGCUUCGUUCUGAUCCUGGGAGGGAUCGUAUUGCUGUGCUGCUGUUGCGUAGCUUGCCGCAAGAAGCGAGGACCCGGAGCUGACGAAACGGACGCCAAGUCGCACAUCCAGGUCGAGCAGAAUGGGUUCCCCGGGGCGGUCAGCAAUGGUGGCCCCCGCUCGCACCAUCACAAAAGUCGCAACGGAAUCAGCGCCCGGAUGAACAUUACGCCGAACCCGCUGGCCCAGGAUGGGGAUAAGAAUCGUAAUGUGAUGGAGCUGCGCUUUCUGCCGACCAAGCCGCCGAGAGCAACCGCCGCUCUCCCGGUCGGAGGUGUUGGUGAAGGGGACGGCGAACUCGUAGACGACAUCAGCGGUGGCGGUACCAAUCUUACCAGCAAUGGCGGACCUUAUCUUACUAAUAACAAUCACCAUCCGCAUCCGUAUCACCACCAUCAUCAUCAUCAUCUGCAGCAUCAACAGGCGACGGCAACGACAAUCAUCAGCAACAGCAACAAUCCGAUGACAGCCGUCGGGCAGGAGCACAUGAUGCUGGCGUCGAUGCCUCACCGGAGGACGCUAGAACGAAGCAUGCGUAACCUGCAGCAUGGACAACACGUCAACGGGUUAGAUCAACAGCAGAAGAUGAUGCUGGAAGGAGACUGCGGCGUCACGACAACGGUCGGAGCAGGCGUCGGUAUCGUGCUCGGCUCUCGGAACAACUCAUCAAUCCGAAGGGGGCGACGGGGGUCGGGAUCGGUUCCGGGAAGUCCUCGUGUCGGUCGGGGACCCAGUGCCGAACUUCUCCAGCACAACCGUUCCCCAAUGCCGAUCCGAGCCGCGGCCAGCGGAGUAAAACGGGCAGCCCGACUUGGACGGGCCGAGAACAUGUCCUCCGGUAGUUUGAACAGUAUUGAAGUGUAAGCACGUAGGGUUCCCCAUCUAGUUUUCCGUUCAUAUUUACACAGAUCAGGGCUGAAGAAUCACAAGCAGCAAAGCCCACUUUGAUUAGGUUGAAAUUUUCAAAUGUGAUAAAAUUUUACGCCUACACUUAGGCGCAAAGAUGGUUUAUUUCUUGAAAGCCCCGACGACAAAAAGACAAACCGAUCGCUUCAAUAGACUAGGUACGAAACCCACCCCUCACAAAUCCGCAACCGAAAUAGCUAAUCCUACUCUUAUAGACACUGAAACUAAACAUGAAACCUAGUUGUAAUCGAACAGUAAUCCGUCCUCUUGCGAAUGAAGAACCACACCAGUGUCGGUCCAAUGUGUAGCAGUUAGAUCUUUUUAGAAUAGAACCCGAACGCGCAGUAUAUCGAACUACAAGUGUAAAGAUUACGCUUAAUUAAAUAGAAUGCAUUAUCCGAAAAAAAACGCUCAUCCAAGAAAGCCAUGCCAUGGUAGGCUGAAGGCGACACUUAUGGUACUUAGACUACUUUAGGUCCUGUUCAGAGCAAACUCGAACAAUUGUGUAAAUAUUUAAUAAAAAUUAAAUCGAGAUUUACUGACCGUCAGUAGUUGGAACACUUCUCCGCAAAUAAUUUAAACAAAAACUAGAUUUGACUGAACCUUAAGUUAAUUAACACAAAAAGAAAAACAUAUUGCUAGCAAUUAAGUCAAUUAGAACGAAUAGGUACUUAACUGUAGAGGAAAUUAACGCAAAAUAAAGAGAAAGAAAGAGCCGUAUUUAGAUGAGUGAGUGUUAAAUUAUUUACAAGUAACUAAAUUUUAACGAAAACAUAUGAAGAACAAAAGAGUGAACUAGCAACAAGCAAUGAAGAGAGUAUAAAUAUUUAAAAGAAGAAUAACACUGAUUAGGGGAUAGAAAUUUAUUUUUUAAACAAAGAACGAAAAAUUGUAUAUAUCGUUUCAUUAGACAAGACGUUGAAGGAAGCACAAAGAAAGCGACAGAAUCAUAAUAUUUGAGGUUGAAUCUCUCAAAAAUGUUGGCUUCUGGUACUAAAAAUUGUGGAAAGAAAUUGAACUGUCAAACGUACGUAACGUCGAGGCAAAGAUAGGAAAUUAUUUGUUUGAUUUAUUUGGAAAAUGAGUUUCUCUCCAAAAC